CACGUAGGGGGCAAGCGUUGUCCGGAUUUAUUGGGCGUAAAGCGCUCGUAGGUGGUUCGGUAAGUCGGGUGUUAAACCCCCAGGCUCAACCUGGGGACGCCACUCGAUACUGCUGUGACUAGAGUCCGGUAGGGGAGCGUGGAAUUCCUGGUGUAGCGGUGAAAUGCGUAGAUAUCGUAAGGAAGACCAGUGGCGAAGGCGGGUCUCUGGACAGUUCCUGACGCUGAGGCACGAAGGCCAGGGGAGCGAACGGG
rnacentral:rRNA from 1 species